GGACGGGGCCGUGCCGCCCCGAAUCAGGGCUCACACUGCAGAGGGCUGUAGGCGAGAGAGAAAACUUUUCGAGGAGCUCUCGAGCUGCUGUAUCGCACAAAACACACACCAGACCCGGUUUCCUUAUUCAAGCAAAAGUAGAACUUCCCGGUGCUUUGGCAGUUGAGCAGCAGAGGACGCUGAGCGGUGCAAAUGCCCGUCAGGUGAACAAAGUAUCUGACAACAGAGGUGUGACCUGUGUCAAAACCAUAAACGCUGUCUAAAAGUCACAAUAUCCUGGAUUUCUUAUGCUGUGCUUCAUCAUAGCAACAUGAGAGUGAUUCUUCUGACCAGCAAGGGAAAUAAUUUGCAGCCUUGAAAGUGAUUUUGCAAAUGCUGGGUUCAUCUCCAUUUUUGCUACCUGGUACCUACUCUGUGUGCUUCAAAUGAAAAACAGAGGUGACCAUCUCCAUGUCCACGAUAGUAGGGGGAUGUGGAGCUGCUUUGAAAUGCUUCUUCUGUGGCCUGUCCCCUAUGUCAUUAUGGCAGUGACUUUUACCCAAAAGCUUUAAUAAGAGCUUGAUGAGAAAGCUAUGCUCUGAAGAGCCACAUGGUUAAACAGCUCUGGACAGAUGAGGAAGGUUCUUGAAGGAGGUUUAUACUGCAAUUUACAGUGCUUGCCUGAUAGGAAUUAUUUUUUUUUUGUGUGUGUGUGUUACUGCUGACAGAAUUAUAUUAAUAGAAAGUCCAGGAAUGAAAGAAACCAGCAAGAAAAUGAGAAUUUGCACAUACUUGGCUUAAGUGUCCACCAAAGACAUAAAGGGAUCAGGGUCCACUGUGAAGUGUUCAUUGAAUGACUUAAAGAUUUGAAAAUGUGUAGGAACUGUGGUGAUGGCUUCCUUACGUGAAGCAGAAAUAAACAUAAUUGUGCUCAUAUUAAUUAUUAAUUAGACAUUAAAAAUUAAAAGGAAAGUGGAAAUUAUUUUUCCUGAAUGCUGAUCAUGCAGAUUUUUUUUAAAAUCUGAAAUCAUCUGGGUCUUGGAAAUCCUUAAAUUUGAGAAAAAAUUGAUCCCAGCAAAAUGAUGAUCACGCUGGCAUUUGCUUUGCUGUUCUUCUUGGCUGUUAUGUUUUGUUUUCUGGCUUGUUUCUGUAGGGGAGAGGGACAAGUCUGUUCCAUGUCAGGCUUAGUUUUAGCUUGUGUUGGGGCUCUUUUAUUUUCUGUUUGUGAAUUCCUUUUCAAAAUACGUUGUGCUUAAAAUAUACUGGUGUUCUGUUCCACAGAAUGUGCCUGUGGUUACUCUUAGAUGGGAUAUUUUAGAACACUUAAUCUGACUUCUGAAUUGAACACUGUUUUGGGUAUCGAUGAAAGAAAUUCUGCUUGAAAGGUAAAGGACUGGAGCAAAAUAAAAAUGAAGUUGAGAUGACA